rnacentral:rRNA from 1 species
AACAUUUGGAAACAGAUGCUAAUACCGCAUAACAACGUUGUUCGCAUGAACAACGCUUAAAAGAUGGCUUCUCGCUAUCACUUCUGGAUGGACCUGCGGUGCAUUAGCUUGUUGGUGGGGUAACGGCCUACCAAGGCGAUGAUGCAUAGCCGAGUUGAGAGACUGAUCGGCCACAAUGGGACUGAGACACGGCCCAUACUCCUACGGGAGGCAGCAGUAGGGAAUCUUCCACAAUGGGCGCAAGCCUGAUGGAGCAACACCGCGUGAGUGAAGAAGGGUUUCGGCUCGUAAAGCUCUGUUGUUAAAGAAGAACACGUAUGAGAGUAACUGUUCAUACGUUGACGGUAUUUAACCAGAAAGUCACGGCUAACUACGUGCCAGCAGCCGCGGUAAUACGUAGGUGGCAAGCGUUAUCCGGAUUUAUUGGGCGUAAAGAGAGUGCAGGCGGUUUUCUAAGUCUGAUGUGAAAGCCUUCGGCUUAACCGGAGAAGUGCAUCGGAAACUGGAUAACUUGAGUGCAGAAGAGGGUAGUGGAACUCCAUGUGUAGCGGUGGAAUGCGUAGAUAUAUGGAAGAACACCAGUGGCGAAGGCGGCUACCUGGUCUGCAACUGACGCUGAGACUCGAAAGCAUGGGUAGCGAACAGGAUUAGAUACCCUGGUAGU